rnacentral:rRNA from 1 species
UACGGAGGAUGCAAGCGUUAUCCGGAAUUAUUGGGCGUAAAGGGUCCGUAGAUGGCUCUUCAAGUCUGCUGUCAAAGCGUAGGGCUUAACCCUAUAAAGGCAGUGGAAACUGAAAGAGCUAGAGUGCGGUAGAGGUAGAGGGAAUUCCCAGUGUAGCGGUGAAAUGCGUAGAGAUUGGGAAGAACACCGGCGGCGAAAGCGCUCUACUGGACCUGCACUGACAUUGAGGGACGAAAGCUAGGGGAGCGAAAGGG